rnacentral:rRNA from 1 species
AGGCUGCAACUCGCCUACACGAAGUUGGAAUUGCUAGUAAUCGUGGAUCAGCAUGCCACGGUGAAUACGUUCCCGGGUCUUGUACACACCGCCCGUCACACCAUGGGAGUCGGGAAUGCCCGAAGCCAGUGACCCAAGCGAAAGCAGGGAGCUGUCGAAGGCAGGCCGGAUAACUGGGGUGAAGUCGUAACAAGGUAGC